rnacentral:rRNA from 1 species
UACGAAGGGGGCUAGCGUUGUUCGGAUUUACUGGGCGUAAAGCGCACGUAGGCGGAUCGUUAAGUCAGGGGUGAAAUCCCGAGGCUCAACCUCGGAACUGCCUUUGAUACUGGAGAUCUUGAGUCCGGAAGAGGUAAGUGGAACUGCGAGUGUAGAGGUGAAAUUCGUAGAUAUUCGCAAGAACACCAGUGGCGAAGGCGGCUCACUGGCCCGAUACUGACGCUGAGGCACGAAAGCGUGGGGAGCAAACAGG